AACGAACGCUGGCGGCAGGCUUAACACAUGCAAGUCGAGCGCCCCGCAAUGGGAGCGGCAGACGGGUGAGUAACGCGUGGGAAUCUACCCAUCCCUACGGAAUAGCUCCGGGAAACUGGAAUUAAUACCGUAUACGCCCUACGGGGGAAAGAUUUAUCGGGGAUGGAUGAGCCCGCGUUGGAUUAGCUAGUUGGUGGGGUAAAGGCCUACCAAGGCGACGAUCCAUAGCUGGUCUGAGAGGAUGAUCAGCCACAUUGGGACUGAGACACGGCCCGAACUCCUACGGGAGGCAGCAGUGGGGAAUAUUGGACAAUGGGGGCAACCCUGAUCCAGCCAUGCCGCGUGAGUGAUGAAGGCCUUAGGGUUGUAAAGCUCUUUCACCGGGGAAGAUAAUGACGGUACCCGGAGAAGAAGCCCCGGCUAACUUCGUGCCAGCCGCCGCAGUAACAC
rnacentral:rRNA from 1 species